AAGUAUCUCAAAAGCUCUGUUGCACUAUGCAUGGAACUUUUGGAUGUUGGGAGUUGCUGGUCACUUAUAAAGUAAGUGGUAGGCUCUUCUGAAAAGGAUUAGUCGAGGAGCUUUUGCACUCUAUUGGUGUGAUAGACUAUCUAUGCCAGGAGAAGCAUUAUGAAGCCCUCUGCCAUCUAAUGGUCCUUAUGGACAAGAUGAUAA
rnacentral:misc_RNA from 1 species